rnacentral:rRNA from 1 species
ACGAACGCUGGCGGCGUGCCUAAUACAUGCAAGUAGAACGCUGAAGAGAGGAGCUUGCUCUUCUUGGAUGAGUUGCGAACGGGUGAGUAACGCGUAGGUAACCUGCCUUGUAGCGGGGGAUAACUAUUGGAAACGAUAGCUAAUACCGCAUAACAAUGGAUGACACAUGUCAUUUAUUUGAAAGGGGCAAUUGUUCCACUACAAGAUGGACCUGCGUUGUAUUAGCUAGUAGGUGAGGUAAUGGCUCACCUAGGCGACGAUACAUAGCCGACCUGAGAGGGUGAUCGGCCACACUGGGACUGAGACACGGCCCAGACUCCUACGGGAGGCAGCAGUAGGGAAUCUUCGGCAAUGGGGGCAACCCUGACCGAGCAACGCCGCGUGAGUGAAGAAGGUUUUCGGAUCGUAAAGCUCUGUUGUAAGUCAAGAACGGGUGUGAGAGUGGAAAGUUCACACUGUGACGGUAGCUUACCAGAAAGGGACGGCUAACUACGUGCCAGCAGCCGCGGUAAUACGUAGGUCCCGAGCGUUGUCCGGAUUUAUUGGGCGUAAAGCGAGCGCAGGCGGUUUGAUAAGUCUGAAGUUAAAGGCUGUGGCUCAACCAUAGUUCGCUUUGGAAACUGUCAAACUUGAGUGCAGAAGGGGAGAGUGGAAUUCCAUGUGUAGCGGUGAAAUGCGUAGAUAUAUGGAGGAACACCGGUGGCGAAAGCGGCUCUCUGGUCUGUAACUGACGCUGAGGCUCGAAAGCGUGGGGAGCGAACAGGAUUAGAUACCCUGGUAGUCCACGCCGUAAACGAUGAGUGCUAGGUGUUGGAUCCUUUCCGGGAUUCAGUGCCGCAGCUAACGCAUUAAGCACUCCGCCUGGGGAGUACGACCGCAAGGUUGAAACUCAAAGGAAUUGACGGGGGCCCGCACAAGCGGUGGAGCAUGUGGUUUAAUUCGAAGCAACGCGAAGAACCUUACCUGCUCUUGACAUCUCCCUGACCGGCAAGUAAUGUUGCCUUUCCUUCGGGACAGGGAUGACAGGUGGUGCAUGGUUGUCGUCAGCUCGUGUCGUGAGAUGUUGGGUUAAGUCCCGCAACGAGCGCAACCCCUAUUGUUAGUUGCCAUCAUUCAGUUGGGCACUCUAGCGAGACUGCCGGUAAUAAACCGGAGGAAGGUGGGGAUGACGUCAAAUCAUCAUGCCCCUUAUGACCUGGGCUACACACGUGCUACAAUGGUUGGUACAACGAGUUGCGAGUCGGUGACGGCGAGCUAAUCUCUUAAAGCCAAUCUCAGUUCGGAUUGUAGGCUGCAACUCGCCUACAUGAAGUCGGAAUCGCUAGUAAUCGCGGAUCAGCACGCCGCGGUGAAUACGUUCCCGGGCCUUGUACACACCGCCCGUCACACCACGAGAGUUUGUAACACCCGAAGUCGGUGAGGUAACCUUUUGGAGCCAGCCGCCUAAGGUGGGACAGAUGAUUGGGGUG